rnacentral:rRNA from 1 species
AUUGAACGCUGGCGGCGGGCCUAACACAUGCAAGUCGAGCGGAUGAAGGGAGCUUGCUCCUGGAUUCAGCGGCGGACGGGUGAGUAAUGCCUAGGAAUCUGCCUGGUAGUGGGGGAUAAUGUCCGGAAACGGGCGCUAAUACCGCAUACGUCCUGAGGGAGAAAGUGGGGGAUCUUCGGACCUCACGCUAUCAGAUGAGCCUAGGUCGGAUUAGCUAGUUGGUGGGGUAAAGGCCUACCAAGGCGACGAUCCGUAACUGGUCUGAGAGGAUGAUCAGUCACACUGGAACUGAGACACGGUCCAGACUCCUACGGGAGGCAGCAGUGGGGAAUAUUGGACAAUGGGCGAAAGCCUGAUCCAGCCAUGCCGCGUGUGUGAAGAAGGUCUUCGGAUUGUAAAGCACUUUAAGUUGGGAGGAAGGGCAGUAAGUUAAUACCUUGCUGUUUUGACGUUACCAACAGAAUAAGCACCGGCUAACUUCGUG